UGGGGAAUAUUGCACAAUGGGCGAAAGCCUGAUGCAGCGACGCCGCGUGAGUGAAGAAGUAUUUCGGUAUGUAAAGCUCUAUCAGCAGGGAAGAAAGGCCCAUUAAGGGAGAUGACGGUACCUGACUAAGAAGCCCCGGCUAACUACGUGCCAGCAGCCGCGGUAAUACGUAGGGGGCAAGCGUUAUCCGGAUUUACUGGGUGUAAAGGGAGCGCAGACGGCAGCGCAAGUCUGAUGUGAAAUCCCGGGGCUCAACCCCGGAACUGCAUUGGAAACUGCGCAGCUCGAGUAUCGGAGAGGUAAGCGGAAUUCCUAGUGUAGCGGUGAAAUGCGUAGAUAUUAGGAGGAACACCGGCGGCGAAGGCGGCUUACUGGACGAAGACUGACGUUGAGGCUCGAAAGCGUGGGGAGCAAACAGG
rnacentral:rRNA from 2 species